CCCUGUGAGGAGGGUGACAGCUGGAGGCGGGAAACCCCUUCCUGGCCGUGGAGGGGCGUCGUCUUGUUUGUCGGCAAAGCUGUCCCCGUUUAAUUGGUUGCAGAUUCUGACUUGCACAAGUAGCAUUC
rfam:Myotis davidii contig25913, whole genome shotgun sequence.